rnacentral:rRNA from 1 species
AUUGAACGCUGGCGGCAGGCUUAACACAUGCAAGUCGAACGAGAGGAAGGAAAGCUUGCUUUUCUGAAUCUAGUGGCGAACGGGUGAGUAACACGUAGGUAACCUGCCCAUGUGCCCGGGAUAACUUCUGGAAACGGAUGCUAAAACCGGAUAGGUAGCAGACAAGCAUUUGACUGCUAUUAAAGUGGCUAAGGCCAUGAACAUGGAUGGACCUGCGGUGCAUUAGCUAGUUGGUGAGGUAACGGCCCACCAAGGCGACGAUGCAUAGCCGGCCUGAGAGGACGGACGGCCACAUUGGGACUGAGACACGGCCCAAACUCCUACGGGAGGCAGCAGUAGGGAAUUUUCGUCAAUGGGGGGAACCCUGAGCGAGCAAUGCCGCGUUAGUGAGGAGGGUCUUCGGAUCGUAAAGCUCUGUUGUAAGAGAAAAACGACAUUCAUAGGGAAUGAUGAGUGAGUGAUGGUAUCUUACCAGAAAGUCACGGCUAACUACGUGCCAGCAGCCGCCGUAA